rnacentral:tRNA from 1 species
GGAGUUGUGGCUCAGUGGUAGAGCGCUUGCCUAGCAAGUGGGGGGCCCUAGGUUUGAUCCUCAGCACCA